GGCCUUGUGGCGCAAUGGAUAGCGCAUCAGACUUCGGAUCUGAGGGUUGCAGGUUCGAGUCCUGUCAGGGUCG
rnacentral:tRNA from 1 species